rnacentral:rRNA from 1 species
UACGUAGGGGGCAAGCGUUGUCCGGAAUCAUUGGGCGUAAAGCGCGCGUAGGUGGCCCUGUAAGUCCGCUCUGAAAGUCGAAGGCUCAACCUUCGAAAGCGGGUGGAUACUGCAGGGCUAGAGUCCGGAAGAGGCGAGUGGAAUUCCUGGUGUAGCGGUGGAAUGCGCAGAUAUCAGGAGGAACACCAACGGCGAAGGCAGCUCGCUGGGACGGUACUGACACUGAGGCGCGAAAGCGUGGGGAGCAAACAGG